GACGGGGGGAGCAAGCGUUGUUCGGAUUUAUUGGGCGUAAAGGGCGCGCAGGCGGUCGGGUAAGUUCGGCGUGAAAGGUUCACGGCUCAACCGGGAAACUGCGUCGAAUACUGCCUGACUUGAGUGCAGGAGAGGAGAGCGGAAUUUCCGGUGUACCGGUGAAAUGGGUAGAUAUCGGAAGGAACACCAGUGGCGAAGGCGGCUCUCUGGCCUGUUACUGACGCUCAGGCGCGAAAGCCAGGGGAGCGAACGGG
rnacentral:rRNA from 1 species